GACGAACGCUGGCGGCGUGCUUAACACAUGCAAGUCGAACGGAAAGGCCCUGCUUGCAGGGUACUCGAGUGGCGAACGGGUGAGUAACACGUGGGUGAUCUGCCCUGCACUUCGGGAUAAGCCUGGGAAACUGGGUCUAAUACCGGAUAGGAGCCAUUUUUAGUGUGAUGGUUGGAAAGUUUUUUCGGUGUAGGAUGAGCUCGCGGCCUAUCAGCUUGGUGGUGGGGUAAUGGCCUACCAAGGCGGCGACGGGUAGCCGGCCUGAGAGGGUGGACGGCCACAUUGGGACUGGGAUACGGCCCAGACUCCUACGGGAGGCAGCAGUGGGGAAUAUUGCACAAGGGGCGCAAGCCGGAUGCAGCGACGCCGCGUGGGGGAUGACGGCCUUCGGGUUGGAAACUCCUUUCGCUAGGGACGAAGCUUUUUGUGACGGUACCUAGAUAAGAAGCACCGGCUAACUACGUG
rnacentral:rRNA from 1 species